CGGCGUAAAGAGUGGUUAUGGAACCAACACACUAAAGCCGAAAGCCCCUUAAACUGUCAUACGCACCCAGGGGCCAGAACCCCACCACACGAAAGUAGCUUUAUCAAUACCUACCUGAACCCACGACAGCUGGGACACAAACUGGGAUUAGAUACCCCACUAUGCCCAGCCAUAAACUUAGAUGUUUUCGUACAAUUAACAUCCGCCAGGGGACUACGAGCACUAGCUUAAAACCCAAAGGACUUGGCGGUGCCUCAGACCCCCCUAGAGGAGCCUGUUCUAGAACCGAUAACCCCCGUUCAACCUCACCACUCCUUGCCCUUUCCGCCUAUAUACCACCGUCGCCAGCUUACCCUGUGAAGGGAAAAAAGUAAGCAAAAUGGAAUCUCCCCCCAAAACGUCAGGUCGAGGUGUAGCACACGAAGUGGGAAGAAAUGGGCUACAUUGCCUGAUACAGGCCACUCACGGAAAGUUACCUGAAACGGUCACUCAAAGGUGGAUUUAGCAGUAAAAAGGGAAUAGAGUGCCCCUUUGAAGUUGGCUCUGAGACGCGCACACACCGCCCGUCACUCUCCCCAACAACUACCCCAAAAAGUAAAUAACACCAUUAAACAAAUAAAGGGGAGGCAAGUCGUAACAUGGUAAGUGUAC
rnacentral:rRNA from 1 species